UCGGGAAUUUUGGGCAAUGGGCGAAAGCCUGACCCAGCAACGCCGCGUGAGGGAUGAAGUAUUUCGGUAUGUAAACCUCGAAAGAAUGGGAAGAAUAAAUGACGGUACCAUUUAUAAGCUCUGGCUAACUACGUGCCAGCAGCCGCGGUAAUACGUAGGGAGCAAGCGUUGUUCGGAUUUACUGGGCGUAAAGGGCGCGUAGGCGGCGCGGUAAGUCACUUGUGAAAUCUCUGAGCUUAACUCAGAACGGCCAAGUGAUACUGCUGUGCUAGAGUGCGGAAGAGGCAACCGGAAUUCUUGGUGUAGCGGUGAAAUGCGUAGAUAUCAAGAGGAACACCUGAGGCGAAGGCGGGUUGCUGGGCCGACACUGACGCUGAUGCGCGAAAGCCAGGG
rnacentral:rRNA from 1 species